AGUGAACGCUGGCGGUAGGCCUAACACAUGCAAGUCGAACGGCAGCACAGUAAGAGCUUGCUCUUACGGGUGGCGAGUGGCGGACGGGUGAGGAAUACAUCGGAAUCUACUUUUUCGUGGGGGAUAACGUAGGGAAACUUACGCUAAUACCGCAUACGACCUACGGGUGAAAGCAGGGGAUCUUCGGACCUUGCGCGAUUGAAUGAGCCGAUGUCGGAUUAGCUAGUUGGCGGGGUAAAGGCCCACCAAGGCGACGAUCCGUAGCUGGUCUGAGAGGAUGAUCAGCCACACUGGAACUGAGACACGGUCCAGACUCCUACGGGAGGCAGCGGUGGGGAAUAUUGGACAAUGGGCGCAAGCCUGAUCCAGCCAUACCGCGUGGGUGAAGAAGGCCUUCGGGUUGUAAAGCCCUUUUGUUGGGAAAGAAAAGCAGCAGGUUAAGACCCCGCUGUUCUGACGGUACCCAAAGAAUAAGCACCGGCUAACUUCGU
rnacentral:rRNA from 1 species